GAGCGCGAGGCACAGCGAACGGUUCACUUCGCUCUCCGCGGGGGGAGGCGAACACCAUCUCUAUGGGAAAUAAUCUCGAUUAUAAACAAGGGGGACCCAGCCGCGAAAAGAUGAAUGGAUGGGGCCAGCGCGACGUCACAGCGAGCUGCAGCCAUGAAGCUCAAGACCAGGCGCGAGCCAACCUACAAGCGCUCAGUUGUUCUACAUCUCUGGACUCGCUUGGUUGAUUGUUGUGGAGAGCGUUUGUAACCGUGGCUGGCAGACACCGGGGUUUCAAUGGAGAGACAUAUAGGCGCAACAGAGCAGGUGGCAUAGGUCAGAAUCUGGCCCGUGCAUAUCACCUGUGGCACAAGAGGAUGGGCAGCCUUAGGGGUUGGUUGUUAUCUUUGGUUAUCUAGCUGUAUGAGUGAUGUACAUUCUUCAUAAAGCUAGAUAACCGAAAGUAACAAGAAUCCCAUUACGCUCCUGAAAGGCAUCAAGAUCCCCAACACAUAUCCCCCAUGCUGCACCACCCCAUUCUACCAUUCACAGCAAAACAAGCAACGAAAAUGGCCGACAUCARAGGACUUGGGAGCAGAAGAAAAAUUCAAACCACCAACACCACCAUGACAGAAUGCUGGCAAAAUGAGGKUGAAAAACAYGGAGAGGAYGAGAGGUUGCUGUUGACUCUGACUCCCUCUUCUCACCCUCCUCCGUGUCGCCUCUCCCCUUCUCCCCUCCCUCGCUUCAUCCUCAGCUGCCUUCCCCAUUCUCCUGUACCGCGAGACGCAGCCCACGCCACCAUCUUAGGACGACGCACGCUGGCAUGAAAUGGAAGUGAGGACCAGAGAGAGCAGGCAAAUAAUGGUCCAGAACACUGAAAGAGGGCAGAAAUGACAUCGAGCAGUAAUCCAUUGGGAGAAGAGAAGUUGCCCACAAACUACCAACCCAUCCCUAGUAUUUGUAAUGGAACAGGCCCAUUACAACAAUGUUCAUCCACUACACUCCGACUCGUGCCCCAACAUUUGAGCAUCAGAGCACUUUAGCUGCCUCUGACGUGUGGUUGGACCUCUGGCCUGGGUUUUGUUAUCCAACAAGGGCCAAUCAGGAUUGGUUUUCUUUCCUUUCAUUAAGCCAAUAAGAAAGUGGGGUGGGGGCGUGGAAAACAAGAGCAAAUAUCUCAGGAUCCAAGAUGAACAGAGAAGCACUGAUUCUUGGAUACACUGUGCUGUGAAUGAGAGACAUGACAUGUGCUGUGGACCUACAGUAUUUGCUUGCAGACUCAAUAACAUCUACACUGAGUGUCCAAAACAUUAAGAACACCUGCUCUUUCCAUGACACAGACUGACCAGGUGAAUCCAGGUGAAAGCUAUGAU